GGGGAUGUGGUGUCUGUAAUGGGUUGUUGGGUAUCGCGUCCAGGUUCCCAACCUGAAUGAGGUCGCGCGGGUUCGAUCCCCGCCAUGAUGCCG
rnacentral:tRNA from 1 species